CGGAUCAACCAUUGGUUGAACCAGUGAUGUCAGCAUGACAUUAUAAAUAUUUACUUUUUUAUAUUUUAUUACAUAGAAAAUAUAUAUUAUUAUUUUAGUAUCAUAUUAAAUUAAUUAUAAAAUAUUAAUUUUUAUACCAAGUUAAAUAGAUAUAAACUUUCAAAUAUCACUUUUAUAAGAGUAACAUGUUAAUAAAAAAAGAAACAGCUAAGUUGAUUUUAAACCGUUGGAUAUUAAUAUGACUUGAUAAAAACAAACAAUGUCGGUUUAAUUAAAACCGAACCGGUUCACCGACUCGAAUAGUACAAAACGAUUUUUUCGACUUAUUUGGUUAAAAGGAUUAAAACAAAUAACUUCAUAAAUUGUGUCAUGGUCGGACCGGUCGAGCCAGCCGAUUCAAUUGGGUUCUUAACUCAUUAGUUGUAUUAUCCUCAAUUGAAAUUUCACUUUCUUUUUCUACUUUUUU
rnacentral:lncRNA from 1 species